CCCAGCUGGAGGCAAUAGCCUAGGUGGUACUGUACCUGGGCAAGUGUUACACUGCUGGGAGAAAACCAGCUAAUAGCUGGCAGGCAUCCUGGGACUGGUUAAUGCCAAACGGUGUUAACCAUACCAAUGUGCCAGCAUAGU
rnacentral:snoRNA from 1 species